ACGGCUCAGUAACACGUGGCUAACCUGCCCUUGGGACGGGACCAACCCCGGGAAACUGGGGCUAAUCCCCGAUAGGUGAAGAACUCUGGAAUGAGUCUUCGCCCAAAAGGCGUCAGAUCAUGCUUCUGGCGUCGCCCAGGGAUGGGGCCGCGACCGAUCAGGCUGUUGGUGAGGUAAUGGCCCACCAAACCUAUAACCGGUGCGGGCCGUGAGAGCGGGAGCCCGGAGAUGGGCACUGAGACAAGGGCCCAGGUCCUACGGGGCGCAGCAGUCGCGAAACCUUUGCAAUACACGAAAGUGUGACAGGGUCAUCCCGAGUGCCGACCGCUGAGGUUGGCUUUUACCCAGUCUAGAACGCUGGGGGAAUAAGGAGAGGGCAAGUCUGGUGUCAGCCGCCGCGGUAAUACCAGCUCUCCGAGUGGUGUGGACGUUUAUUGGGCCUAAAGCAUCCGUAGCUGGCUGAACAAGUCCCCUGUUAAACCCACCGAUUUAAUCGUUGGUCUGCGGGGGAUACUGCUCGGCUAGGGGACGAGAGAGGCAGACGGUAUUCCCGGGGUAGGGGUGAAAUCCUAUAAUCCCGAGAAGACCACCAGUGGCGAAGGCUGUCUGCUGGAACGCGCCCGACGGUGAGGGAUGAAAGCUGGGGGAGCGAACCGGAUUAGAUACCCGGGUAGUCCCAGCUGUAAACGAUGCAGACUAGGUGUUUGGACGGCCACGUGCCGUUCUAGUGCCGCAGGGAAGCUGUUAAGUCUGCCGCCUGGGGAGUACGAUCGCAAGAUUGAAACUUAAAGGAAUUGGCGGGGGAGCAC
rnacentral:rRNA from 1 species